rnacentral:rRNA from 1 species
GUAGCCGUACGAGUAUCACAGAGAGCUUGCUCUCGGGUGACGAGUGGCGGACGGGUGAGUAAUGUCUGGGAAACUGCCUGAUGGAGGGGGAUAACUACUGGAAACGGUAGCUAAUACCGCAUAACGUCGCAAGACCAAAGAGGGGGACCUUCGGGCCUCUUGCCAUCAGAUGUGCCCAGAUGGGAUUAGCUAGUAGGUGGGGUAACGGCUCACCUAGGCGACGAUCCCUAGCUGGUCUGAGAGGAUGACCAGCCACACUGGAACUGAGACACGGUCCAGACUCCUACGGGAGGCAGCAGUGGGGAAUAUUGCACAAUGGGCGCAAGCCUGAUGCAGCCAUGCCGCGUGUAUGAAGAAGGCCUUCGGGUUGUAAAGUACUUUCAGCGGGGAGGAAGGUGUUGUGGUUAAUAACCGCAGCAAUUGACGUUACCCGCAGAAGAAGCACCGGCUAACUCCGUGCCAGCAGCCGCGGUAAUACGGAGGGUGCAAGCGUUAAUCGGAAUUACUGGGCGUAAAGCGCACGCAGGCGGUCUGUCAAGUCGGAUGUGAAAUCCCCGGGCUCAACCUGGGAACUGCAUUCGAAACUGGCAGGCUAGAGUCUUGUAGAGGGGGGUAGAAUUCCAGGUGUAGCGGUGAAAUGCGUAGAGAUCUGGAGGAAUACCGGUGGGCGAAGGCGGCCCCCUGGACAAAGACUGACGCUCAGGUGCAAAGCGUGGGGAGCAAACAGGAAUAAGAAACCUGGUAGUCCACGCCGUAAAACGAAUGUU